rnacentral:lncRNA from 1 species
UCAAAUAGCCCAGCGUCAUACAGUGAACAGCGAAAUGCCACGUGUAUAGGACUGAUGAGGAUGGAACAAUACACUGUGUUACAGAUGGGGCUGGAAGACUCAGAAAGUGCUUAGAAAGAAGAGCGUUUGACCUAAGCCUACCAGGUGUGCCAGGUAGAAAUGAAGGUGUCUCUUCCCUUAAGAAGCUUGGAGGCACUGACUUCCGAUGUUGGCUCAGAGGUUUCAGGAUGCUGGGACCCAUGUCUCUCUGGGGUUUGCUUGGACUUUCUCUUUUUCAUCUCGUCAUUGUCACAGGAUGGCUGCCACAGUUCCAGGAUCAACUUAUAUUAAAGAGAGGAAGGGGAGGGGGCACACCCGCAGACUUCUACUUCAGUCUCAUUGUUGGAAUGGUGUCACUGGGCCACUUUUAGCUGCCCUGGCAGGAGGGAAGGAUGGAGCAGUGGGGCCUGGGAAAGGCUUCAAGGUGGAGGCAAGGCUGAGUCAUUCUCCGAGUCCAAGGAAGAAAGAAGUCAUCAGUCCAAGAAAGGAAGACCAUGGGUAAGACUAGGGGAAGAGAAUGGUGGCUGGGGCUUGAAUUAGAAGAUAUUUUGUGCUUAGGUAAGAUGUUUUGUGUGUCUAGGGCCCGAGGACCCGUAGAGCACAGGCUGUGGGAUGCACUGUUGGAGCAAUGGGCACGCUGUGUGAGUGGACACAGGGACAGUGAAUGGCCGAAGAUGUGGUAAGAGGUGGGGGGCAAGCCAUCAUG